AGUGAACGCUGGCGGUAGGCCUAACACAUGCAAGUCGAACGGCAGCACAGUAAGAGCUUGCUCUUACGGGUGGCGAGUGGCGGACGGGUGAGGAAUACAUCGGAAUCUACUUUUUCGUGGGGGAUAACGUAGGGAAACUUACGCUAAUACCGCAUACGACCUACGGGUGAAAGCAGGGGAUCUUCGGACCUUGCGCGAUUGAAUGAGCCGAUGUCGGAUUAGCUAGUUGGCGGGGUAAAGGCCCACCAAGGCGACGAUCCGUAGCUGGUCUGAGAGGAUGAUCAGCCACACUGGAACGGAGACACGGUCCAGACUCCUACGGGAGGCAGCAGUGGGGAAUAUUGGACAAUGGGCGCAAGCCUGAUCCAGCCAUACCGCGUGGGUGAAGAAGGCCUUCGGGUUGUAAAGCCCUUUUGUUGGGAAAGAAAAGCAGCAGGUUAAUACCCCGCUGUUCUGACGGUACCCAAAGAAGAAGCACCGGCUAACUUCGUG
rnacentral:rRNA from 1 species